AGUGAACGCUGGCGGUAGGCCUAAUACAUGCAAGUCGAACGGCAGCACAGUAAGAUCUCGCUUUUACGGUUGGCGAGGGGCGGACGGGUGACAAGUACAUCAGCAUCUUCUUUUUCUUGGGUGAUUACGGGAAGCAACUUCCGCUAAUACCGCAUAUGAUGUACGGGUGAAUUCAAGGGAGCUUCACACCUUUCGUGACUGUAAUAGCUGGAGUCGGAUUAGCUAGUUGGCGUGGUAAGGGCCCACCAAGGCGACGAUCCGUAGCUGAUCUGAGAGGAUGAUCAGCCACACUGGAACUGAGACACGGUCCAGACUCCUACGGGAGGCAGCAGUAGGGAAUAUUCGGCAAUGGGCGCAAGCCUGAUCCAGCCAUGCCGCGUGGGUGAAGAAGGCCUUCGGGUCGUAAAGCCCUUUUAUUGGGAAAGAAAAGCAGCAGGUUAAUACCCCGCUGUUCUGACGGUACCCAAAGAAUAAGCACCGGCUAACUUCGUG
rnacentral:rRNA from 1 species